AGCGAACGCUGGCGGCAGGCCUAACACAUGCAAGUCGAACGAAGUCUUCGGACUUAGUGGCGGACGGGUAAGUAACACGUGGGAACGUACCUUUUGGUUCGGAACAACUCAGGGAAACUUGAGCUAAUACCGGAUGAGCCCUUAGGGGGAAAGAUUUAUCGCCGAAAGAGCGGCCCGCGUUAGAUUAGCUAGUUGGUGAGGUAAAGGCUCACCAAGGCUACGAUCUAUAGCUGGUCUGAGAGGAUGAUCGGCCACACUGGGACUGAGACACGGCCCAGACUCCUACGGGAGGCAGCAGUGGGGAAUCUUGCGCAAUGGGCGAAAGCCUGACGCAGCCAUGCCGCGUGAAUGAUGAAGGUCUUAGGAUUGUAAAAUUCUUUUACCAGGGACGAUAAUGACGGUACCUGGAGAAAAAGCCCCGGCUAACUUCGUGCCAGCCGCCGCCGUAACAC
rnacentral:rRNA from 1 species